rnacentral:rRNA from 1 species
GACGAACGCUGGCGGCGUGCUUAACACAUGCAAGUCGAACGGAAAGGCCCUGCUCUUGUGGUGUUCUCGAGUGGCGAACGGGUGAGUAACACGUGAGUAACCUGCCCUUGACUGUGGGAUAACUUCAGGAAACAGCGGCUAAUACCGGAGAGGAGCUUCUGAUGCAUGGUGGGGGUUAGAAAGUUUCGGCGGUUGGGGAUGGACUCGCGGCUUAUCAGCUUGAUAGGGAGGUAGUGGCUUACCAAGGCAUUGACGGGUAGACGGCAUGGGAGGGGGACCGGCGACCUUGGGCCUGAGAGAGGGCGCAGACUGCUACGGGGGGCAGCAGUGGGAAGUAUUGCGCAAUGGGCGGAAGCCUGAUGCGGCAGCCCCGCGUGCGGGAUGACGGCUUUCGGGUUGUAAACCGAUUUCGCCUGUGACGAAGCGUGAGUGACGGUAAUGGGUAAAGAAGCACCGGCUAACUACGUG